rnacentral:lncRNA from 10 species
AGAUCAGCCCUGGGGUUCAGAGGGAUCCUGACAGCUACUCCUCAAGAUCCUCUCUGUUGUGAUUCAUCCCCCCGGGGCCCUACAGUUUCUCCUUCCUGACUCUUACAUUUCUUUGGAUGGCAUCAUUAUUUUAGGUGCCAAGCACUGUGGAUUCUGCCUCUCAGUGUCCAGACACCCAUUUUCCUUCCCACUGUUCCUUCCCCAUGGAGAAGCCUGUGGCUGGCUGACAGCAGAGAGAGAUGCUCAACUUGGAGAAGGUGUUACCUGGGCCAGGUGGGGAAGGUUUGUUUGCAGAGCAAAGAAGUGAAGCCUAUUCAACGUGAAAAAGAUGAGGAUGAAGACCUUUAUUAUGAUCCACUUCCAAGUAAUGAACACACUGGAGAAAGUCAGACAGUCAAAACAAUGUCCCAGACUCCGUGAAGUUCCUGGGUAGAGAAGGAGACAGACAUAUACCAUACCUAAUAAUUGGAUGUCCGAGAGAAUGAGAGAAUGGCAGAAAGAACUUUAGAGCAUGGGUAUGAUGGCUAGAGCUUGAGCAGCCAUUGUGGACAUCAGAUGAACUUGAAAGUGAAAACUAUGAGCUGAAUACGACAAAGCAAACAGAUAGAAAACUGGAUUCAUUAUGACAUUGCAAAGCUGCCAGACCAGCUCUAGUCUGCUUCCCCCUAAUCUUCCUUACUAAGAGAGAGAAAUAAACUUCCAUCUUCUUCAA